CUCCCAGGCCCGUGCUCUUCCCACUAGCCCGCGCUGCUUCUCUUAAUCGAUCACUGAUAUUGAAAAAAUGCUCAAAUGCAACUUUCGAUGGCACUGCACGAGUCCGUUAAAACGAGGUUCUUCGCACACGAUCGGAAGAAAUAAAAUACACUGACGAAGCUCUAAGGAGCUCUAAGCCCAUUCACUCCUCUCUGGAGUUUGCCUUUAGUUUGGCUCUCAGUUCCUUCUUGAUUGCCGAUCUUAGUACCAAUGGACUUAUUGAUCCCUCAAUGGCUUCCCAGACCCGGGUUCUAAUCCUGACUUCACCACACGCCUGCCGUGUGACCUUAGGCAAGCCACUUUACUUCUCUGUGCUUCAGUUUCCUCAUCUGUAAAACAGGGAGAAAAUACCUGUGCUUUUUAUCCCCUGACACUGUGAGCUCCAUAUGCGGCAGGGACUGUCGGACCUGAUUAUUUUGUAUCUACCCCCAGCCUGUGCCCCGUAGUGAAUGCGUAACUGACGUCACAGUUAUUAUUAUUACCUGUUCAGGGUCUCUUAAAGCCUAAGGACCAUCUCUCUGGGAGACCCAAGGACAGAGCGGCACUUGUAAUGAAAUUAUUCACAGGGUCUGUGACUCAAAGUCAUCCCUUAGCUCAUGUUUUCGAAUUCAAUUCUGAGGAGACACGCGAACUCUAAGGCCACGCUGCUUCUUCAGGAUGCCUAAAGGAAAAUACGUGCAGUCAACCGCACGAAGCCCGCUGACAUCAUGGAACCAGCUGGAAAGCGUGUCGUCGACCGUACGGUCGGUCAUUCUUGAACGGGCCCUCCUUGUGAGAGAGUCAUCCCCCUUCCCGGCUGCGAAAUGAACCUUCCCAUCCCCUUCUUCCCCCUCGGGACUCGCUCGGAACUGGAGCUCUGACAGAGAGGAUUUAUUUGACAUGUGAACUUCACAGGCGCUCUUCUCCUUCCCUGCCUGUGCCCUUGGGGUGCUCUUCAUUUUUACUGUCAACGGGGAUGACUCCUUUCAAAUGAGAUCAGGACCGUGCACAUCUGCAUCUGUUUCCCUUGGCUGUGGAAAGACCGGAGGAUCGUAUGCUCUCCAGCUGUAAACUUAGUAAAGAGGAGUAACUGCAGCCCCACGGCACUUCUGGACAUAACCUUAAACUCUACUAUUUCUCUGUCGGCAAUUUCUUUUAAUACUUGUCUCCCCCUAUAGAAAUGCAAGCUCCUUGUGGACUACCAACUCUAUUUUUUAUGAUAUUUGUUAAUAAUAAUAGGGAUAAUAA